GGAAGAGUGUGGGACUAUGUGAGGUGCUGUGCAGUCCAGAGAAUUAAAUAAUGGCAUCAGAUGGGUGACCAGACUUGAAAAGCACACACCGAAGACAAGAAUGAGAAGUCACGGUAGUAUGUACUAUCUCAACUACACAAAGCUGAUCAAGCCUUCAUCAUCUCCACUUUUCAAACCCGUGAUCUCUUUAUAAACUUGAGAUAACUGGAAGGUUUUUCUCCUAAUCACACUAAAGGAACAAUUCCAAAUUAGACACUGUUUCUGGAAUUUGAAAUCUUAACUCCAGCAGCUGCAGACAAUGUGUGGUCCAUCAGGCCAGACUUCACUCAAGAAUCUGAUUUGAACAGUAUUACCACCAACUAGGAUUAUAACACGGACUGCAGCGAUAUAAAACAGCAACUCAACCUCUCUGGUCAUGGGCAGUUAGGGGUAUCAAUAAAUGCUGACCCAGCCACUGACAAGUGUCCCAAGGACAAAAUGUAAGACUGCGUAGAGGUCUGGCAAUACCAUAUUUGAGGAAAGAUAUGUUUUGCCUUGGAGGUGGUACAGUUCAAAAACAUCAUAAAAGGUUAAUCCCUGGGAUUGAGAGUGUUGUCCUAUGACAAUAGGGCUAUCCUCUUUGAUAUUUAGAAGUUUGAAAAGUGACCUCAUUCAAACAUACAAGAUUCUGAAAGGUCUUGAAAAGGACAGACAAAUAAGUAGUUUCCCAGAUGUUGGGGGAUUUGGAACAUUGGGACAUAGCCUCAGGAUAAGGGACUGAUCGUUUAUGACUAAAUGAGAAGACAAUGGAGUUGAGCAGAAGGACUUGGGCAUAUACAAGUACAUAUCAUGCAAGAUGGCAGGAGUGGUUCAGAGAUGAUGAGUGGUUAUUAAAGUACAGUAUACAAUAACUUGUUUUUAUUAAUAGGGGAAGAGUGUACAUUAAGUAAAAAAUGAGGUCUGCAGAUGCUGGAGAUCACAGCUGCAAAUGUGUUGCUGGUCAAAGCACAGCAGGCCAGGCAGCAUCUCAGGAAUAGAGAAUUCAACGUUUCGAGCAUAAGCCCUUCAUCAGGAAUGAGAGAGAGUAGCCAAGCAGGCUAAGAUAAAAGGUAGGGAGGAGGGACUUGGGCAUGUUAACCUUGACAAUUACUAUUUAGAUAAUUCUAUGAAAUAUCUUUUCUGUAUCCACUCCCCAGUUCCUUCCUAACUUGCCUUCAUCUGCUUCUGGUCCUUCCUCAUUAUUCAAGUCACUUGACUGCCAGGAAUACAGGCUUUCAUUUUCAUUGUGUACACGCAUGUCCAAAGUGUUGCUGUGAUCAUCUUCAUGGUCUUCAGCAGUCAAGUCCUCACUUUCUGAAAGACAAAAAUGCAACUGACGUGUUUCAACAUCUCAAAAAUAAGAUGGCUUAAUCUGGUUGU